rnacentral:tRNA from 1 species
ACCUGGCUGGCUCAGUCAGUAGAGUAUGUGACUCUUGAUCUCAGGGUUAUGAGUUCAAGCCCCACGUCGGGCA